ensembl:lncRNA novel transcript
AAAGCACGGACUCAUUCAUCACAUACACGCAGCACGGCUAAGGGCCCCGCACAGUGGCGAGGUCUCUGCUCCCGGGACGCUCGCGCCGGCCACACAACGCUAGGCUGACUCCUGGUGCCUCCUCUAGGCCCGGUGGGACCUGAGGACUUCCUUAGCGCAACGUCUCACUGAAUGACAGCCACAACCACCGCUGUCCAGGCGAGGAGUUUCCAGGACUGAGAGGCUGGCACUAGGCCACUGCUGGGAGGACGUCUGUGAAACCAGGUGCCCCUGAGAGCCACUGUCCCCAGCCCGACUCCGACGCUGGACUGGCGAGAGGGUGCGCCCGUGGCGUAGCUCCUGGCCGCCGCCGCUCCCGGGAAGGGCCCAGAGGCAACAUCCUGGACAGCAGAGCUGCACGAAGUCCGAGGCGCCGCGAGCCCAGACAGUAGUUGGGGUGUCCCCAGCGGGAAGGAGAAGGAGGCUGUCUGGAAGGAGGAGAACCAAGAAUGCACAAAGGCCUGGCAGUGGGCAGUCAGCGUUAGGGAAGAAGGUGAAGGAGCAGAGAAAAGGGGGAAGGGCCACGGCAGGUGGGGACCCAAC